AUUGAACGCUGGCGGCAUGCUUUACACAUGCAAGUCGAACGGCAGCGCGGGCUUCGGCCUGGCGGCGAGUGGCGAACGGGUGAGUAAUACAUCGGAACGUGCCUAGUAGUGGGGGAUAGCUCGGCGAAAGCCGGAUUAAUACCGCAUACGACCUGAGGGUGAAAGCGGGGGAUCUUCGGACCUCGCGCUAUUGGAGCGGCCGAUGGCAGAUUAGCUAGUUGGUGGGGUAAAGGCCUACCAAGGCGACGAUCUGUAGCUGGUCUGAGAGGACGACCAGCCACACUGGGACUGAGACACGGUCCAGACUCCUACGGGAGGCAGCAGUGGGAAAUUUUGGACAAUGGGCGAAAGCCUGAUCCAGCAAUGCCGCGUGUGUGAUGAAGGCCUUCGGGUUGUAAAGCACUUUUGGCGGGAACGAAAAGGACUGUGCCAAUACCACGGUUCGAUGACGGUACCCGCAGAAUAAGCACCGGCUAACUACGUG
rnacentral:rRNA from 1 species